UCCCCGAUAGCUCAGUUGGUAGAGCGGGUGACUGUUAAUCACCUUGUCGCAUGUUCGAGUCAUGCUCGGGGAG
rnacentral:tRNA from 1 species